UACAGAGGGUGCGAGCGUUAAUCGGAAUUACUGGGCGUAAAGCGUGCGUAGACGGUUAUUUAAGUCGGAUGUGAAAGCCCCGGGCUCAACCUGGGAAUUGCAUUCGAGACUGAAUAGCUAGGGUGCGGUAGAGGAAGCGGAAUUUCCGGUGUAGCGGUGAAAUGCGUAGAUAUCGGAGGAACAUCAGUGGCGAAGCGGUCUGCUGGCCGUUGCUGACGCUGAGCGCGACAGCGUGGGAGCAACAGG
rnacentral:rRNA from 1 species